rnacentral:lncRNA from 1 species
CUCAUUUUUUUCAUCUGUUGGCCUGGAUACUGAUUAUCAUUUCCAGAUUCUAUUGCCGUCUAUACUCAAAUUAAAUGAGAACAAAUAUGUCACCAUCAUAGAUGAAACCUAAUCCAACACUUGAAGAUUCAUCUCUCAUCUGCCUCAUCUGCCUCAGUUUCGCCUAUGGCUUGCCAAUAGUACUAGAAGGUAUACAAUAGCACAGCUGCGACUUUCUCAGGUAUGUGGGGAACCCUCUGGCUCUUCCUUCCAAGGUUCAAGUCAGUAAAUAUUUUAAAUUGGCUGUUAUUAGUUUCUUAAAUCUUGCUGGUCAUGUGCUUCUUCACUAUGGGACCUAAGAAUAAAUGUCAGGAAUAAUUAGACGACA